AAAACUAAAGUUAUAUGGAUUGCCUGAUUUUCAGCCUUGUUCCCCUCC
rnacentral:sRNA from 1 species